rnacentral:lncRNA from 1 species
AGGCUGUUUUAAUUUGCAAAAUUUCUCAAGCAUACUUACCUUGCAUUUAUUGCCUGAUCAAAACGGGAUCCGAGGAGGGGAAUGGCAUACUCUUAGGUCAAAGACUUUUGGAAAUAAAAAUCUUUGUCAACUCUUUCUGGCAUAUUGCUUAUUAGAGGGACCAUGGGCUUUCUUUUUUUCUAAGUGGAUACCGAGGUACCCCUAAUUCUACUGCUGGACACUUGUCCAUUUUUUCUGCGAGGUUAUUGAGCACUUGCUCCUUUUUAUUUCCUCGAAAUAUCCUUAUUUUUGCAUAGCCCAUGCCUCUAAUGCAAUAAUACUUCGGAAGAGUGAAUCUUUCUGAAUAAAUGUCUUGAUCUUAGGAGCAUGAUAAAUCUCUCAACAAGGGUCUA